AUGCUAUCCCCGCAGGACAACCAGAUCUGCUUCGCCACCCCGCAGGGCUGGAUCUUCAUCCUGCACGGCGCCGCCCCGUGGGAGACCUGGCUGUGGCAUCCGGUCACCGAAGAGACCAUACCCCUCCCGCCCAUACGAGACGACCACUACGUCCCCACCAACUGCACCUGCUACCUCACCCACAGCUCCGCCAUGUAUCCUGACUGCGCCGUCGUGCUGCUCGACGUCGCCGACCCCGACAUGUGGUUCUGCCGAAUCAACGGAGGAAGCAGUAGGGAAUGGGCGCAGCACACGUAUGACGUCGGCGAGUACACUCUCCCAGAGGGCGACGGCGACUGCACUUCUACUCCCCCGACCAAGAGAGUAAUAGCUGGCGUCGUCGCCGCCCUGGGAGGGAAGCUGCAUUUCAUCUUCUCGGAAUCAAACCAAUACAAGAUGGGCGUCGUUAACCUCGACUUCGGCACUCCUGCCCCUACGGCCGAGCUUCACACGCUGGAGGACGUGGACGCCGCCAUAACUCUACCGGAAGGAAUGUGCGGUGGCGUGACCAGUCUGCUGGAGUCACAGGGGGAGCUUUUCCAGGUCUGCGUUUGCUUCCGGGGAUUUGACCCCAACGACGUAGGCGCCGUGCUUGUCCUGAAGAUGGAUUUUGGCCAUGGCCGCCGCUGGCGCAGGGUGCAUGACAUUGGGGACAGGGUCUUCAUGUUGGCUCACGGAGGCAAUGCGGUUUCUUGCCCGGCGAGCGCGUGCAACCUGCAAAGGAACCGCGUCUACUUCAUGAAGAACUUCGUCGAGGAUGAUGGGGAUCUGUGCAUCUACGACCUGGUGGAAGAAGUCCUUGAGAUUCUUGUGGUUCAUGAAAGGGACUUGACUCUUGCACGCACCAAACCUUAUUGGAUUGUACCGCCUACUGCCUAG
rnacentral:rRNA from 1 species